UAGUCCAUUGGUUGAAGCUCCUCCUUAGGGAUUUGAAAUUCAUACUUUCCUGGCUUAGAACUGAUAGGCUCGUGAAUGAGAUAGAGAUCCAGAUACUCCAAUUGAAGUUUCCUGAGAGAAUUGUUUAGAGCAGGGACAACAAGAUCACUAUGCGCAUCGGUGGGCCAGAGCUUUGAAGUGAUGAAGAGUUCCUGUCGAGAACCUAUGAGGCCAAG
rnacentral:misc_RNA from 1 species